UAACAGUCAAAAAGUUUCUGGUUUGUUAUGAAAAUUAGUAAAUUUUUUAUUUCAAGUUUCAAUUAAGUCCGUAAUUUUUUUUCUUAUUUGAUGGAAAUGGGACGUUCUACCUUACACAGAGAAUGACUUAGCUACCAUGCUAUCGAUCGGAGGUUGGAAGUUUCACAUACAUUAAUUUCCCGUAUUGUUCAACGUUUUACAGAAAUGGACGACUACAGCUGACAUCCCGGACAAGAUAAAUCCAUAUUUGCCUCUAUAAUUUCGAUUGACCUUUAAGCCCAGUAGCAACAGAGCUUUAUGCCCAAUGAUUUUGUUAAUGUACUAUGACGCAAACCAUGCAAACGUAGAGGCUAUUCAACUCCUGGAUCAGUGUGGAUUAGUGAGAAGACUCAAGAGGACUUAACCUUUUGUGUUAGUGUAAAACCUUUUGAGUUUUGAAUGUAAAUAUCAAAAAAAUGAGAAAUACCAUUGGGGAGAACUCAACAUACUUUAGUUUUAAGAUUGAUAAUAAAGAAAAUUUGCUCGUU
rnacentral:lncRNA from 1 species